rfam:Myotis brandtii contig154258, whole genome shotgun sequence.
CUUGGUGGGGAGGAGGUCCCUCAGCCUAGAUUGCAAGAGGACACAGGCCAGGCUGAGGGACUCCACCAGUGCAUG